AUUGAACGCUGGCGGCAGGCCUAACACAUGCACGUCGAACGAGUGGCGGACGGGUGAGUAAUGUCUGGGAAACUGCCCGAUGGAGGGGGAUCACUACUGGAAACGGUAGCUAAUACCGCAUACCAUCAAAUGUGCCCAGAUGGGAGUAGCUAGUAGGUGGGGUAACGGCGAACCAAGGCGACGCUCACUAGAGGGUCUGAGAGGAUGAAGAGCCAGACUGGAACGGAGACACGUUCCAGACCACUACGGGAGGCAGCAGUGGGGAGUAUUGCACAAUGGGCGCAAGACUGAUGCAGCCAUGCGGCGUGUAUGAAGAAGGCCUUCGGGUUGUAAAGUACUUUCAGCGAGGAGGCGUUACUCGCAGAAGAAGCACCGGCUAACGCCGUGCCAGCAGCCGCGGUAAUAC
rnacentral:rRNA from 1 species